rnacentral:rRNA from 1 species
GAUGAACGCUGGCGGCGUGCCUAAUACAUGCAAGUAGAACGCUGAAGGAAGGAGCUUGCUCUUUCCGGAUGAGUUGCGAACGGGUGAGUAACGCGUAGGUAACCUGCCUGGUAGCGGGGGAUAACUAUUGGAAACGAUAGCUAAUACCGCAUAACAGUAGAUGUUGCAUGAUAUCUACUUAAAAGGUGCAAUUGCACCACUACCAGAUGGACCUGCGUUGUAUUAGCUAGUUGGUGAGGUAACGGCUCACCAAGGCGACGAUACAUAGCCGACCUGAGAGGGUGAUCGGCCACACUGGGACUGAGGCACGGCCCAGACUCCUACGGGAGGCAGCAGUAGGGAAUCUUCGGCAAUGGACGGAAGUCUGACCGAGCAACGCCGCGUGAGUGAAGAAGGUUUUCGGAUCGUAAAGCUCUGUUGUAAGAGAAGAACGAGUGUGAGAGUGGAAAGUUCACACUGUGACGGUAUCUUACCAGAAAGGGACGGCUAACUACGUG